AUUGAACGCUGGCGGCAUGCCUUACACAUGCAAGUCGAACGGCAGCACGGGUGCUUGCACCUGGUGCGCGUGGCGAACGGGUGAGUAAUACAUCGGAACAUGUCCUGUAGUGGGGGAUAGCCCGGCGAAAGCCGGAUUAAUACCGCAUACGAUCCACGGAUGAAAGCGGGGGACCUUCGGGCCUCGCGCUAUAGGGUUGGCCGAUGGCUGAUUAGCUAGUUGGUGGGGUAAAGGCCUACCAAGGCGACGAUCAGUAGCUGGUCUGAGAGGACGACCAGCCACACUGGGACUGAGACACGGCCCAGACUCCUACGGGAGGCAGCAGUGGGGAAUUUUGGACAAUGGGCGAAAGCCUGAUCCAGCAAUGCCGCGUGUGUGAAGAAGGCCUUCGGGUUGUAAAGCACCUUUGUCCGGAAAGAAAUCCUUGACUCUAAUACAGUCGGGGGAUGACGGUACCGGAAGAAUAAGCACCGGCUAACUACGUG
rnacentral:rRNA from 1 species